GUAUUAAGAUGAUACAAUACAGGGUCAAUUGCUUAAAAGAAUAUUGAAUAAACAGCCUUAUUCAAAAAGAAUACAAAUCAAAGCACUCCAGCACUUAUAUUCAUGCAAAUACCAAAGAAAAGAAACCAUAGAACUUACUAUCUGAUCUCUUUGUCCUUACACUUAGAAACAGAAAACUAGAAAGUAGAAACUACUUCUCCAAAGCUCAGAGAAAGCAGGCAGACAGACAAAAGACUCAGACACUCAAUUCCCUCCACCCAAAGUUGAAAAAAUCCGGUUUCCUGAUUGGUCUAAAAAUCCGGUUUCCUGAUUGGUCCUCUGGUCAGGUGCUUCAGGUGAAAGAGACAUUAACCCUUAGCUAUCUGUUUAUGACAAGGUUGGACAUUAGGAAAAAGUUCCUAACUGUCAGGGUAGUUAAACACUGGAAUAGAUUGCCUAGGGAAGUUGUGGAAUCUCCAUCUCUGGAGAUAUUUAAGAGUAGGUUAGAUAAAUGUCUAUUAGGGAUGGUCUAGACAGUAUUUGGUCCUGCCAUGAGGGCAGGGGACUGGACUCGAUGACCUCUCGAGGUCCCUUCCAGUCCUAGAG